AUUGAACGCUGGCGGCAGGCCUAACACAUGCAAGUCGAGCGCGCGGCGGACGGGUGAGUAAUGUCUGGGAAACUGCCUGAUGGAGGGGGAUAACUACUGGAAACGGUAGCUAAUACCGCAUACCAUCAGAUGUGCCCAGAUGGGAUUAGCGAGUAGGUGGGGUAACGGCCCACCUAGGCGACGAGCCCUAGCUGGUCUGAGAGGAUGACUAGCCCCCCUGGAACUGAGACACGGUCCAUACUCCUACGGGAGGCAGCAGUGGGGAAUAUUGCACAAUGGGCGCAAUCCUGAUGCAGCCAUGCCGCGUGUGUGAAGAAGGCCUUCGGGUUGUAAAGCACUUUCAGCGGGGAGGCGUUACCCGCAGAAGAAGCACCGGCUAACUCCGUGCCAGCAGCCGCGGUAAUAC
rnacentral:rRNA from 1 species